rnacentral:rRNA from 1 species
GCGUUCUGUAAGCCUGCGAAGGUGUACUGUGAGGUAUGCUGGAGGUAUCAGAAGUGCGAAUGCUGACAUAAGUAACGAUAAAGCGGGUGAAAAGCCCGCUCGCCGGAAGACCAAGGGUUCCUGUCCAACGUUAAUCGGGGCAGGGUGAGUCGACCCCUAAGGCGAGGCCGAAAGGCGUAGUCGAUGGGAAACAGGUUAAUAUUCCUGUACUUGGUGUUACUGCGAAGGGGGGACGGAGAAGGCUAUGUUGGCCGGGCGACGGUUGUCCCGGUUUAAGCGUGUAGGCUGGUUUUCCAGGCAAAUCCGGAAAAUCAAGGCUGAGGCGUGAUGACGAGGCACUACGGUGCUGAAGCAACAAAUGCCCUGCUUCCAGGAAAAGCCUCUAAGCAUCAGGUAACAUCAAAUCGUACCCCAAACCGACACAGGUGGUCAGGUAGAGAAUACCAAGGCGCUUGAGAGAACUCGGGUGAAGGAACUAGGCAAAAUGGUGCCGUAACUUCGGGAGAAGGCACGCUGAUACGUAGGUGAAG